rnacentral:snRNA from 1 species
GAGGCGCUGUCUACGAGUC